UUCUUUCUGCCUUUCCCUUUCCUUUAUGAUUCUCUUUGUUUAUUCUAACUUUUUACUUUUUGGCCUAGAAUGUACGGUAUCUGACUAGCAUUUGCUGCGGCUGGUUUCCGUAUUUGCGCUAAAGGUACUUGACCCCUCUUCAUUCUUAGCUUCCAUUCCAAAAACAGCACUCUUUCGGUCACCUUCCACAAUGGGCUUUCAGUCCGCUAUCUCCGCAUUGCUUCUGUAAACUCCGGUAUAGUUCCCCUCCCCUUUAGUUCCAUCAGUGGGUUCCUCCAUUCUCUUCUCGGUAUUACGCUAUCUCCGCAUUGCUUCUGUAAACUCCGGUAUAGUUCCCCUCCCCUUUAGUUCCAUCAGUGGGUUCCUCCAUUCUCUUCUC
rnacentral:lncRNA from 1 species